UACGGAGGGUGCGAGCGUUGUCCGGAAUCACUGGGCGUAAAGGGCGCGUAGGCGGCGCGGGUAGUCAUCGGUGAAAGUUCAGGGCUCAACUCUGAAUCGGCCGGUGAUACUCUCGUGCUUGAGCACUGUAGAGGCAGGUGGAAUUCCCAGUGUAGUGGUGAAAUACGUAGAGAUUGGGAAGAACACCAGUGGCGAAGGCGGCUAUCUGGACGGUUUCUGACGCUAAGACGCGAAAGCGUGGGGAGCAAACAGG
rnacentral:rRNA from 1 species